UGGGGAAUUUUCCGCAAUGGGCGAAAGCCUGACGGAGCAAUGCCGCGUGGAGGUGGAAGGCCUACGGGUCGUCAACUUCUUUUCUCGGAGAAGAAACAAUGACGGUAUCUGGGGAAUAAGCAUCGGCUAACUCUGUGCUAG
rnacentral:rRNA from 1 species